AUCUCAGGGGAGCUCCUAGGGUGGGGCUGGUGCCAUGGCUCACCCUCCAACCUUUCCUUCUUCACUUCAGCCUCCAGCUCUGAGCUUUCCAAUCCCCAGAGUAGCAAAUGUUGAAAGAAGUUGCACAGGUGACAAACAGCAUGUUUGGUGCUUCAAGAAAGAAGUUUGUAGAGGGGGUCGACAGUGACUACCAUGACGAAAACAUGUACUACAGCCAGUCUUCUAUGUUUCCACAUCGGUCAGAAAAAGAUAUGCUGGCAUCACCAUCUACAUCAGGUCAGCUGUCUCAGUUUGGGGCAAGUUUAUACGGGCAACAAAGUGCACUAGGCCUUCCAAUGAGGGGGAUGAGCAACAAUACCCCUCAGUUAAAUCGCAGCUUAUCACAAGGCACUCAGUUACCGAGCCACGUCACGCCAACAACAGGGGUACCAACAAUGUCACUUCACACGCCUCCAUCUCCAAGCAGGGGUAUUUUGCCUAUGAAUCCUAGGAAUAUGAUGAACCACUCCCAGGUUGGUCAGGGCAUUGGAAUUCCUAGCAGGACAAAUAGCAUGAGCAGUUCAGGGUUAGGUAGCCCCAACAGAAGCUCGCCAAGCAUAAUAUGUAUGCCAAAGCAGCAGCCUUCUCGACAGCCUUUUACUGUGAACAGGUAAGAUGUUUAUUGAUACUGUGUAUAAUUGUCUUUCUGGGUAUACUCAGAUUUGCCUUUUCAUAUUUUCACUUUGUUCUUGAGGUGUGGCUUCUCUCUAAUAAGUGUGUUUCAUCAUGCAUUUAUGUCCAAAGAUUCUGUUACCCAUCACAAAACGAUACGUUUUCUUGAAAAUCAGGUUGAUUUUGGAAAGCACAUUAAAACAUUUUGUUGUUGUGGUUGUUAGAAAAGGAUUGUUCUUGGAUUCGCCACCAGGCAAAUUUUGGUUGAUAUGUCCUCUCUUUAUAAAAUAAGUUGAUUACCUGUGUGGUAAGAGUUCUAGGUUUAUGAAUAGAACUGGAGACAUGUUUGACUAUUACUACUUUGCUUUAGUUAUACUUUGAGUACCUUCUCAAGUAAGAUUUGGUUUUGUGCAUUGGCGACUUACCAACAAAAGACUUUUUAUCACAUCUAUAGUAUUUGAAAACCGUAUCAUGUUUAGGGAUUCGAAACAAAAAAACGGGUUUUUGUACUUUUUCACUUCUCUUUGUACUGUCUGUUGCAUAUACUUUGCGAAUAAGAGGAGUUACUCAUUUUGUUAGGAUUUUCAAGCUGUUUGGGUAAUUUGUAUGAGAAUUAUGUCUGAAAUAUAACACUUUCUUGCAAAAGUAGUAUUUAAGCUUGAUUGCCUACAUGUAUAUAUAUGUAUUUUUUAAAUGGAGAAAUGUAGGGGCAAAACUACCUUGAUCUAGUUGUUAUCAUCAUACCUAUUUGAUUCACUUUAUUCUGUCUAGUGAAAUCUGAAUUAAAAUAGGUUUAGCACAUUUACUGUUUAAU
rnacentral:lncRNA from 1 species